GCGAACGCUGGCGGCAGGCUUAACACAUGCCAGUCGAACGGGCAUCUUCGGAUGUCAGUGGCAGACGGGUGAGUAACACGUGGGAACGUACCCUUCGGUUCGGAAUAACUCAGGGAAACUUGAGCUAAUACCGGAUACGCCCUUUUGGGGAAAGGUUUACUGCCGAAGGAUCGGCCCGCGUCUGAUUAGCUUGUUGGUGGGGUAACGGCCUACCAAGGCGACGAUCAGUAGCUGGUCUGAGAGGAUGAUCAGCCACACUGGGACUGAGACACGGCCCAGACUCCUACGGGAGGCAGCAGUGGGGAAUAUUGGACAAUGGGCGCAAGCCUGAUCCAGCCAUGCCGCGUGAGUGAUGAAGGCCUUAGGGUUGUAAAGCUCUUUUGUCCGGGACGAUAAUGACGGUACCGGAAGAAUAAGCCCCGGCUAACUUCGUG
rnacentral:rRNA from 1 species